rnacentral:misc_RNA from 1 species
GUAUUUUUUAAAUCCAACUAUACUCUGUCAAACCAUACAAGCGUCUAUGUGGCUAGGCCGCCGCAAAGCAGACCCGUGCCUACAGCCCUCGCGGACUGCAACCAAAAGGCCCCCCCAGCAUUCCACCACAACCGUGAUCUCCUGCUGUUAGGCCUUUGGGGUGUAUAUAGGACUUGCGUCCUACAACCGAUUUGUUAAUGAUCCUUCCGCAGGUUCACCUACGGAAA